AGCAACAUGGCGCAGGGGUAGCGCGCGGGGCUCAUAUGUGCGGGGAUUCCCCUGCGCUAUGUAACCCCGAGGUCACUGGAUCGAAACCAGUUGUUGCUA
rnacentral:tRNA from 1 species